rnacentral:rRNA from 1 species
CACGUAGGGGGGCGAGCGUUGUCCGGAUUUAUUGGGCGUAAAGAGCUCGUAGGCGGCUAAGUAAGUCGGGUGUGAAAACUCCAGGCUCAACCUGGAGACGCCACCUGAUACUGCUGUGGCUAGAGUCCGGUAGGGGAGCAUGGAAUUCCUGGUGUAGCGGUGAAAUGCGCAGAUAUCAGGAGGAACACCAGUGGCGAAGGCGGUGCUCUGGGCCGGAACUGACGCUGAGGAGCGAAAGCGUGGGGAGCAAACAGG